rnacentral:rRNA from 1 species
GAUGAACGCUGGCGGCGUGCUUAACACAUGCAAGUCGAACGGAAAGGCUCCUGCUUGCAGGGGUACUCGAGUGGCGAACGGGUGAGUAACACGUGGGUGAUCUGCCCUGCACUUCGGGAUAAGCCUGGGAAACUGGGUCUAAUACCGGAUAGGACGAUGGUUUGGAUGCCAUUGUGGAAAGUUUUUUCGGUGUGGGAUGAGCUCGCGGCCUAUCAGCUUGUUGGUGGGGUAAUGGCCUACCAAGGCGUCGACGGGUAGCCGGCCUGAGAGGGUGUACGGCCACAUUGGGACUGAGAUACGGCCCAGACUCCUACGGGAGGCAGCAGUGGGGAAUAGUGCACAAUGGGCGCAAGCCUGAUGCAGCGACGCCGCGUGGGGGAUGACGGCCUUCGGGUUGUAAACUCCUUUCGCUAGGGACGAAGCGCAAGUGACGGUACCUUGAGAAGAAGCACCGGCUAACUACGUG